UACGGGGGGGGCAAGCGUUGUUCGGAAUUACUGGGCGUAAAGGGCUCGUAGGCGGCCAACUAAGUCAUACGUGAAAUCCCUCGGCUUAACCGGGGAACUGCGUCUGAUACUGGAUGGCUUGAGUUUGGGAGAGGGAUGCGGAAUUCCAGGUGUAGCGGUGAAAUGCGUAGAUAUCUGGAGGAACACCGGUGGCGAAGGCGGCAUCCUGGACCAAUACUGACACUGAGGAGCGAAAGCCAGGGGAGCAAACGGG
rnacentral:rRNA from 1 species